rnacentral:hammerhead_ribozyme from 1 species
AUCCAACUGAUGGGUUCUAGAUAGGAUGAAACACGCGUUCUGGAU